UACGUAGGGACCAAGCGUUGUUCGGAUUUACUGGGCGUAAAGGGCGCGUAGGCGGCUUGACAAGUCACUUGUGAAAUCUCCGGGCUUAACUCGGAACGGCCAAGUGAAACUGUCAUGCUAGAGUGCAGAAGGGGCAAUCGGAAUUCUUGGUGUAGCGGUGAAAUGCGCAGAUAUCAGGAGGAACACCGAUGGCGAAGGCAGGUCUCUGGGCCAUUACUGACACUGAGAAGCGAAAGCAUGGGGAGCGAACAGG
rnacentral:rRNA from 1 species